rnacentral:tRNA from 2 species
AGGGGAGUGGCUCAACGGUAGAGCAACGGUCUCCAAAACCGUGGGUUGCGGGUUCAAAUCCUGUCUCCCCUGCCA